rnacentral:rRNA from 2 species
CGUAACAAGGUAACCGUAGGGGAACCUGCGGUUGGAUCACCUCCUUACCUUAAAGAACUGU